rnacentral:lncRNA from 1 species
AGGAGUGAGUCACUGUUGCUUCAAAAGCCAGAACCUUUCACACCAUUUCUGAGCCAUUCUUACUGCAUGGAUUUAACCAAAUUUCUGAAGAGAUUUCAAGAAUCUCGACGGGUGCAGUGCCAUUAUCCAUAUGAAUUUACUGAUGACCGAAAGAGGACUAUCACUUUCGCAGAUACUUCCUCAGGUCAGAUGUAUGCUGUUUAUACCUCUGGAAGUCUUCACUACAUUAAUGGGAUGGAUUUGUCUUUUACACGACUGGAUAUGGAUGGCAUGUCUGAAGAAGAGCAAGAAGAUCCCAUCUUUGCCUGUUACUGUGUGCCAGUUGAAAGGGAGAACUCGAUUAGCAAUUACCCUUCUAAACCCUCAAUAGAAUGGCAUUAGGAACAGAUAGAUGCCUGGGCAAACUAAGGACAGAGUUUCAGGAGGGUAUUGAAACUAUAUUCCACUUGUUCACUAGUUACGUGUGUAUCAGGGUAAAAUGUCAGUUUUGGUAAUUAAGAACUUAGUGGAAUCUUGUAUUGUCUUCUCCUUACUUCAACUAUGUCUAGAACAAAUGUGAUCUGCUGAAGAAAAUAAGCUUUAAAGCUUGCCUUCCCCCCUCUCCCACCUAUUACAUUUCCAUCUUGGGAUAUCAUUGAUGGGAAAUGGGUGCUGGACUUUGGAGUAAAGGAAAGACUUGUUGAUUCUCACCUCAGGUACCCGACACACAGGUUGUGCCACAGAUUGAUUCUUACAAAAUAUCACACAAUGUAUAUGAAUAAACAUUUGGUGGGGGGAAGUUUACA